GACGAACGCUGGCGGCGUGCCUAAUACAUGCAAGUUGAGCGAUGAAGAUUGGUGCUUGCCCCAAUUUGAAGAGCAGCGAACGGGUGAGUAACGCGUGGGGAAUCUGCCUUUGAGCGGGGGACAACAUUUGGAAACGAAUGCUAAUACCGCAUAACAACUUUAAACAUAAGUUUUAAGUUUGAAAGAUGCAAUUGCAUCACUCAAAGAUGAUCCCGCGUUGUAUUAGCUAGUUGGUGAGGUAAAGGCUCACCAAGGCGAUGAUACAUAGCCGACCUGAGAGGGGGAACGGCCACAGUGGGACUGAGACACGGCCCAAACUCCUACGGGAAGCAGAAGUAGGGAAUCUUCGGCAAUGGACGAAAGUCUGACCGGGCAACGCCGCGUGAGUGAAGAAGGUUUUCGGAUCGUAAAACUCUGUUGGUAGAGAAGAACGUUGGUGAGAGUGGAAAGCUCAUCAAGUGACGGUAACUACACAGAAAGGGACGGCUAACUACGUG
rnacentral:rRNA from 1 species